AUCAAUCAUUUGAUAAAUGAAACCUAAUUUCAGAUAAUGGAGUAUCCAAGGUUUGCAUACAUCUCAUCACCUAAUUCCCCCUUUCGCGUGGUAGAGCUAAUUGGUCAUUGAUCCAGAGAAUCUUUAGAUGUGUUUCCGAUGGCCAUGGGAGAUCAUCUAUGGUAGGAAGGUGGUAGGAAGGCUACCAGACUAGUAUUAAAAUAUAAAAAGCAAGGAGAAAAAGCGUCAUAUUUCACACCAAAAGGAGAGAAGCAUGUGAAAAAAGUGAUGGGAUUGCCAAGUAGCGGAGGGACUGCUCUCUACAAUUACUUGCUAAUUAAGAAGUUCUUUUCUUUUCUUCACAAUGUUCUUGCUGCUACUUCUAAUUAGCAGUUUGAUAUUCAGAAUUAAUGGCCUCUUCUUCUUAUUCUUCUUCUUCAGCUUCAUCUGGGACGAGUAGUACUACUUAUGAAGUGUUCUUGAGCUUUUAUGGCAAAGAUGAUCACUUCAAUUUUGCCGACCACCUCUACAAUGCGUUGGUUGAGGCUGGAAUUCGAACUUUCAGGGACAAGGAUGAACUCCACAAGGGAAACAAAAUUGAUGAGCAGGAGCUAAUCACUGCAAUCCAGGAGUCAAGAAUCUCAAUUCCCAUCUUCUCAGAUGAGUAUGCAUCAAGCAAAUGGUGUCUCAAUGAGCUAACCCUAAUAUGUGAGUGCAGAAGAACAAUGAAUCAGAUCGUGUUGCCCAUUUUCUACAAAGUGGAACCAACGGAUGUGUUGAACCAGAAAAAGGAAGUAUAAGGAAGCGUUUGGGGAACACCUGUUGAAGGGCUUCCACGAGACAGACUUGCAAAAGUGGAAGAAGGCUCUGAGAGAGGUCGGAGAAUUGGAUGGAUGGUCUGUCAAGGAGGACACGGAACAAGUGUUGUUAAAGGACUCAUUAUUGACUUCAGGCAUAUAUCAAUGAGCCAAUGUUUGAUGAGUGAAGGAUUUUCUGUAAUGACAGGCCUAAGAUUACUCCAAGUCGAUUAUGCACAAUCUUUUGAGAACUUCACCAAUUCUUUUUCAGAACUGAGAUGGCUUAGUUGGAGAGGAUGCCCCGACCAAUGUGCACUGACAAAUUUUUGUCCACAAAAAUUGGUUGUUCUUUAUCUAUCAUAUAGUAAAAUAACCAAUAACUGGAUGUGCUGGAACUACAUCAAGGUUUCGAAGAACUUCUCUCUUUUAUUUAUUUAUUUAUUUUUUUCAUAUCAGAAGUCUUUACAAAAAUUCAAAUUUUCUUUUAGUCCUUCUAAAGCUAAUCAAGUGACCUAUCAUAUAUGUAUUCUAUUUUGUAGAAGGCAACAAAUCUAAAAGUUGUAAAUCUGUCUUUUUGUCAUCAACUAUUUAGUACUUCUGACUUUUCAGCAAA